AGUGAACGCUGGCGGUAGGCCUAACACAUGCAAGUCGAACGGCAGCACAGUAAGAGCUUGCUCUUACGGGUGGCGAGUGGCGGACGGGUGAGGAAUACAUCGGAAUCUACUUUUUCGUGGGGGAUAACGUAGGGAAACUUACGCUAAUACCGCAUACGACCUACGGGUGAAAGCAGGGGAUCUUCGGACCUUGCGCGAUUGAAUGAGCCGAUGUCGGAUUAGCUAGUUGGCGGGGUAAAGGCCCACCAAGGCGACGAUCCGUAGCUGGUCUGAGAGGAUGAUCAGCCACACUGGAACUGAGACACGGUCCGGACUCCUACGGGAGGCAGCAGUGGGGAAUAUUGGACAAUGGGCGCAAGCCUGAUCCAGCCAUACCGCGUGGGUGAAGAAGGCCUUCGGGUUGUAAAGCCCUUUUGUUGGGAAAGAAAAGCAGCAGGUUAAUACCCCGCUGUUCUGACGGUACCCAAAGUAUAAGCACCGGCUAACUUCGUG
rnacentral:rRNA from 1 species